CACAUUAGAGCGGCAGAGUAACACUGAAUGGUGGAGCGGCGCCGCUGCAUGUAGUAACUGCUGCCGUCGACGAGGCCGCCGCCGCCACCCGCCGCCGCAGACCUCCACGUUCGACAAUAGCGCCUUCCUCUACGACGCCAGGGAGGUGUUCCAUGCCAGAAGUCGUGGUCAGCAAGGGGAAAAGGCACAAGAUGGAGUUGAUGCUGUCAUUUUACAGCAAAGGGAGGAGGCACUGUGUGUGAGCUGGGGCAAGGAGGCUGUGCUCUAGUGGCCAUUGAAGAGUAACUUCUGAUGAGUUAUCUGAUCCAGCAAUUAAAGUGUUACUGCAAAGCUUAGUUAAGAGAAGAAGGGGCUGUGGUCUGUAUCUAUGACCAAAACCUCGCUGGGUGGCCACUUCUUGAUCAUGGAAUCUUGCUGCUGAGGGUCCAGCAUGUGGUCACGCUGUGUCUUUAUGAAAACCCGCUUUAUUCGAUUCAAUCUCUCAUCAGCUCCUUCAAAGCUUGCAGUACCAAUAGCACUUGCAGGCCAUGGGCGCAUCAGCAUUGAAGCCAGUAUUGACUCCUGAACAAGAUUUUUUCAUAAAACAUGUGGCUUUGUUGUGAUAGUCGAUCACGCUGGAAUUCUAAUCUCAAGGCGACAGUAGUUGGAGGAUCAUCUGCUCCUGCACCGAAUGUCAACUCGGUCUCAUUCUCAGGCAAACUUGGAUCCUACCUUCUCACCCUCUGGCAAGGCGGAGAUGAGGCGCAGGAGCGGCUUGUCAUACUGCUCGAAUGACCGUACAGUGUUGGGGUCGGUUGGGUCUACGCCGCCUCCGGCAAGGUCUAUGCAGGUCACUUGGUAGCCGGAGCCCUCAAGGAGCCACCGGAGCUUGAACCAGCACCACCCUCCAUGCCCUUCCCCAUGAACAAGCACCAAAUGCUCCCCUGCCAUGCCCG